GACCGAGCGUAAGAUUUCGCCUUGUUUGCACAGCUUCCCGUCCUACUUUCGUUUUGGCUGCCUGAGGGAUCCGCCCGAGGAGAACAGCCCGCGUUUGCUUUGUUCGGGCGGGACAACGGCCACCGUUUGUGUCACUCUGGUGGUGGGUACAGCUGCUCUGCUGUGCUUCUGCUGUGCUUGCGUGUCCGCCAGAGCUAGGCAGGACCCCACCGGAGCCCCGGAGUGCUGGCUGUGCGGCUAGUGAGCGAUCUGUGAGUGUGUUGCUGCUGCCUUGGACGAUCGAGAUGGUGGUCGGGUGACACCUAGCGGUGACAAUUUUCUGUAACGCGCCCGGUUCCCGGUGGAUGACAAGGACAGCAGAUUGCCUGCUACGAGCCAGACAGGGUGACGAGAGCCCCGGCGAGCAGGCGGCUGCGUCCCGGGGGUUGUGUCGUGUUUCAGAACGCUCUGAGUAUACAGUGUUGGACCCGGAGAGUACUGGCGGAGGUGACAGGGUUCCCUGACCACCCUGGCGAACAGGACAGGACGGAGGCGAGAAUCAAAGGCACGGCCAGAAGAGGAGUUUGAGGUGUGGGACUGCUAUGCCCCGGCACAGUCAGCUGGACUGACUGACUGCCCUCCUUCUCGAGGCGGGACGCAAUCACGCAUACAAACAAAAGACUACCUCUUUCCAGCAGAAGAAGAUGGCCCUUCCUUCCUCUUCCUCUUGACUCACAGGUGGUACUCUAUCUACCUGCUUCCCAGCCCACCUGAGCCACCCCCCCCCUUCACUUUACGCUCAAUUACAAUAAAUAAAUGAAUGACUACGAA